GCGCGCGUGGCGAAAUUGGUAGACGCGAUAGACUUAGGAUCUAUUACCUUACGGUGUGGGGGUUCGAGUCCCCCCGGGCGCA
rnacentral:tRNA from 1 species